CCCUUAGAUGUUCUGGGCCGCACGCGCGCUACACUGAUGCAUUCAACAAGCCUAGCCUUGACCGAGAGGUCCGGGUAAUCUUUGAAACUGCAUCGUGAUGGGGCUAGAUUAUUGCAAUUAUUAAUCUUCAACGAGGAAUGCCUAGUAAGCGUGAUUCAUCAAAUCGCGUUGAGUACGUCCCUGCCCUUUGUACACACCGCCCGUCGCUCCUACCGAUUGAAUGUGUUGGUGAGGAGCUCGGAUUGGCAGCAGUUGGUGGUUCGCCACCGGCUAUUGCUGAGAAGUCCUCCAAACCGCCCCAUUUAGAGGAAGGAGAAGUCGUAACA
rnacentral:rRNA from 1 species